rnacentral:other from 1 species
CGUACCCUGCGGUGUUCGAGGUGCUGAUAAAACGCUCAUCGCCUACUUUACUUUUACGGGAGUCACGAAGGGUGGUUGAUGCUAAGCCGUAAACCGGAAAGCAGAGGCUGUCCGACGGGCGCCCACCUGUAUAUAAACAGGACUAUGAGCCCCUUCGGCAUACGGCACAAUGGUGGGGUACGC